rnacentral:lncRNA from 1 species
UGCAAGCUGAAGCCGGGAAAGUAGUGUGAAGGUUCUUCAUGAGAAGUGUCUGCCGGACUGUAAUACUUCAAGAGACUUGAGAGCGAGAUUGUGACUUUGAGGUGAGGUUGUAAGAAGUGGACUUGAGAGACAAAUUUACUAUAGAUCAGAGGACGAUCUAUUGAGUGGAGUAUUAGAAUCCUGGAAAAAGUGUGUUCUGCACUAGGUGGGGCAAUGGCCCAAGUCCCAACAGCUUACUCGUUUGAUGCCCCCACCGACUUUAUCAACUUUUCAUCUUUGGAUGCUGAAGAGGACACUGAAAAUAUAGACUCAUGGUUUGAUGAGAAGGCCAACUUGGAGAACAAGUUUCUUCGGCAGAGUGG